AUACGAAGGGUGCAAGCGUUAAUCGGAAUUAUUGGGCGUAAAGCGCGCGCAGGUGGUUCCUUAAGUCUGAUGUGAAAGCCCCCGGCUCAACCGGGGAGGGUCAUUGGAAACUGGGGAACUUGAGUGCAGAAGAGGAUAGUGGAAUUCCAAGUGUAGCGGUGAAAUGCGUAGAGAUUUGGAGGAACACCAGUGGCGAAGGCGACUGUCUGGUCUGUAACUGACACUGAGGCGCGAAAGCGUGGGGAGCAAACAGGAUUAGAUACCCUGGUAGUCCACGCCGUAAACGAUGAGUGCUAAGUGUUGGGGGGUUUCCGCCCCUCAGUGCUGCAGCUAACGCAUUAAGCACUCCGCCUGGGGAGUACGGUCGCAAGACUGAAACUCAAAUGAAUUGACGGGG
rnacentral:rRNA from 1 species